rnacentral:sRNA from 1 species
CAGGAGGCUCUCUGAGAAGAGACAGCAAAGCUUCUUAGAUGGAUCGAAAGACCACGAGCUGGGAUACCAAGUUCUAUGAAAAGCCUGUUACAUUAGGCAACAAG